GGUGAGGACGUGCUGCCUUUAACAUGUUUUGUAGUCUGAUUUAAUCAUGAAAUACAGGCAGAUCCCAGUCUCUCCUCCUCCAGUGGUUCAAACUGGAGUAUUGUUGUUGCUGAUAAAAUGGUUAUCCUGUUUUCAUCAGAGUUCUCAAACCAUCCUGCUGCUUCUGGUCAUCUCACGCCAGGUCUAAGAUUGAAAAGACGGACAGCAACGGCUAUCUUCCAGAGAAAAUAAAUACACAAAGCAGACAAUUUAACCAGAAACUGAUGUGGACACCAUUGACGUUUGCCUGGAUGGACAGUUUCUGCUGGUCUGAGAAAGAAAUGGAAACCUACAAUGUCCCUGUGAUAGCCAGAGUCACAUGACCAAAGGAUUCAGGUGAGAGCUAUCUGUAUUUCGGAUGUUUUCCAGGAGAAUCCUGGGAAAACAAAUAUUGUUGAACAUGACAUUGUUGUUAGAGAAGAUGCUUCUGUCAGAAGAUUAAGUUAUAGGAUCCAUGAGUGCCUGCUGGCCUCACUGAGGGAGGAGGUUGACCUGAUGCUGUCCCUGGGGAUCAUCCAAUAGUGUAACCCAAUGAUGCUCGUACCAAAGGAUGGAAGCAUAAGGUUCUGCAUUGAUUUCAGGUACUUGAAUUAAAAAUGUUUUUGAGUCCUAUCCAACACCAAGAAUUGAUGAACUUCUUAAAAGCAUUUGGGACACCUUGGGGGCUCUUUCCAGUUCACAGUAAUGCCAUUUGGGUUGAACGGUGCCCCAGCAACUUUCUGGAGACUCAUGGACCAGGUACUUAUUUAUCUGGUUUUGCUGAAGCAUAUCUGGAUGACAUCAGUAUUUACAGGAACACCUGUGUUGGAUUGCUUUCAUUCUGCAGGGCUGACAGUCAACCCAUCGAAGUGCAUCGUUGCUGCUGCAGAGACUGAGUACCUGGGCCAUCAUUACAUCAUCAGCAAUGGGGUUGUACACCCUCAGGUCAACAAAACCCAGGCCAUAGAGUCCUGUGCCCUGCCACAAACAAGGAAGCAGCUCCGAUCCUUUUUGUGCUAUCUGGCUUCUAUCACUGUUUCAUAACAACAGGGCAGCUCUACACAAAGACUUGACUAGAUCCUGGAGUCCCAAUCAGAUCCAGUGGACAGAGGAGGCAGUGGCAGCUUUCAGUGAUAUCCAACAAUCACAAGGUAAGCAACCUGUUCUAUACAGCCCAAACUUUGACAAACAUUUUCUUCUCCUCAGGAUGAUCGGCAUCCAGUCGCCUACAUCAGAUGGAAACUGUUCCCCAGAGAGGUUUGGUAUUUGACUGAGGAGAAGGAGGCACUAGCUAUCAAGUGGGCCCUUGAUUCCUUCCGAUACUACCUUCUUGGUCCAGAGUUCACCUUGGCGACGGAUCACA